rnacentral:tRNA from 1 species
AUUUAAAUAGUUUAAAAAAAAUUUUGAUUUGUGGAAUCAAAGAUAUAUUAUAUAUAUAUAUAUUUUAAAUA